AUUGAACGCUGGCGGCAGGCCUAACACAUGCAAGUCGAACGAGUGGCGGACGGGUGAGUAAUGUCUGGGAAACUGCCUGAUGGAGGGGGAUAACUACUGGAAACGGUAGCUAAUACCGCAUACCAUCGGAUGUGCCCAGAGGGGAUUAGCUAGUAGGUGGGGUAACGGCUCACCUAGGCGACGAUCCCUAGCUGGUCUGAGAGGAUGACCAGCCAAACUGGAACUGAGACCAGGGCCAGACUCCUAGGGGAGGCAGCAGAGGGGAAUAUUGGACAAUGGGCGCAAGCCUGAUUCAGCCAUGCCGCGUGUAUGAAGAAGGCCUUCGGGUUGUAAAGGACUUUCAGCGGGGAUGCGUUACCCGCAGAAGAAGCACCGGCUAACUCCGUGCCAGCAGCCGCGGUAAUAC
rnacentral:rRNA from 1 species